rnacentral:rRNA from 1 species
UACGUAGGGUGCAAGCGUUAAUCGGAAUUAUUGGGCGUAAAGAGCUCGUAGGCGGUGUGUCGCGUCGGCCGUGAAAACCUGCAGCUUAACUGUGGGCUUGCGGUCGAUACGGGCAUCACUGGAGUUCGGCAGGGGAGACCGGAAUUCCUGGUGUAGCGGUGAAAUGCGCAGAUAUCAGGAGGAACACCGGUGGCGAAGGCGGGUCUCUGGGCCGAUACUGACGCUGAGGAGCGAAAGCGUGGGGAGCGAACAGG